GUUCCGGUUCAUUUGCACACGGCCCGCUGCGCACGUGCAGGUUAGCCUGAGCUAAUUGCAAAGUUUGGAGGACACCUGAUGCAAAACGAUGAAAGCUUGCUUGGUUUUCUCAAAUUUAGUCGCUUUGCAGUAAAUUUAUCAAGACGUUUUUGGAAUAUGUCGUGUUAUACAGAAGGGGAAACCAAAUGGAAACUUUUUGUUGUUUUUUCACUUUGGACGUUGGCCAUUAAUGGCGCACAUCCACUUUCCUCAUCUCAGCAGGAAGUAAAAUGGGAGCCUGGCACAAGCCGCUUCUGCCCAACACUGUACCAAGUUCAGUGCUUCAAUGGAAAACGGAACAUCUCACCUGAACUAUCAGGAAAUGUGUCGUGCCAUGUGUCUCUACUUAGGCAACCUUCCAGUGAUGUUUUACGCCGUUGAUGAAGAGGUUGAAGGCAAUGAUUAGGUGGGCUGGAAAAGAGUCAACGCUGUGAAGAAGCUGCAGGAGAAUCCCAGCAGAUUGAUUCUGAUUGAUUUCCAGAUCAGUUUGAUGCAAAGACUCAGCUCUCCUCCACACAGGUCAGGGAUCAUUAAAGUCCUGCCCCAUUCACAUCAUCACUCCACAAACUGUAUCAACGUUGUUCAAAGUAGUCAGUGAAAAGUGUCUGUAUCUACAUUAUUUAAUUCACUGCCAGUGUUUGGUUCUUGGUACUAUUUGGGGCUCUACAACGAUGUUUUCCAACCUUUUUGGCUUGAAACACCUUAAACUAAAUGCUGUGUACUUUUUGACAUUGAAUAAUCGGUAAUAAACUCAGUUUUUUCUAUGCCAGCACCCUUUCCUGUGGUAAUAAUACACCAUUUCCAUCCAGCUCCAUGUGUUUAAAUCUGUGUUCUCAGUUUGUGAGGGUUUGGAGUUUUAGUCGGACAGCGAGGCUACGUUAAGACAAGUUCACUUUAAUGAGAAAAGUUUAGCAAAAUACAUUAUAUUGAUUAUCUGGUUGAUUCUUUAGCAGUGCGUUGUAUUUUCAAAGCUCGUUAUAUUAUCCAUUGUGUCAAAUCUUAAUCUUUGCAGGUAGACAGUCACUGUAGACUCAUCCAAUCAGAAUGUUGAUCAUUUCUCAAUAGAUUUACAUUUUGUUUCAUUGCAGAAAGGAAAUUCUUAAAAGCCGUUCCAAUGUCAUGUCCAUUUUGUAUAGUCUUCCCCUCCUCAUUGUAGUUUGAAGUGGGUGGGUGACAGAACAUGUGGUACUGACCACCAGCACAAACAAUAAAAUGAGAUCACUUAGUUGUAUAAACUUUGCUCUCACAUCCUUCUCAUCGUCACCCUUGAGUGGUGAAUUCAAGCCACCUCUUGCCUACGCUGUGUAAAUUAUCAUAUGAAUAAAGGUACAUUCAUUGAGGAACAAUGACUCUUCUUUUGUGUUUUGUUGCUUUUCAUUCAACAUUAAUACAUUGUUUUGCUUGUCUUGUUAUUGCAGCAUUUAC
ensembl:lncRNA